rnacentral:rRNA from 1 species
UACGGAGGGUGCAAGCGUUGUCCGGAUUUAUUGGGUUUAAAGGGUGCGUAGGCGGCCCGUUAAGUCCGUGGUGAAAGCCAACAGCUCAACUGUUGAACUGCCAUGGAUACUGACGGGCUUGAGUACAGACGAGGUAGGCGGAAUGGAUCGUGUAGCGGUGAAAUGCAUAGAUACCAUCCAGAACACCGAUUGCGUAGGCAGCUUACUAGGCUGUAACUGACGCUGAGGCACGAAAGCGUGGGGAGCGAACAGGAUUAGAUACCCCCGUAGUCC